AGCAGUCGUCGCGGUAAUACAGAGGGUGCGAGCGUUAAUCGGAUUUACUGGGCGUAAAGCGUGCGUAGGCGGCUUCUUAAGUCGGAUGUGAAAUCCCUGAGCUUAACUUAGGAAUUGCAUUCGAUACUGGGAAGCUAGAGUAUGGGAGAGGAUGGUAGAAUUCCAGGUGUAGCGGUGAAAUGCGUAGAGAUCUGGAGGAAUACCGAUGGCGAAGGCAGCCAUCUGGCCUAAUACUGACGCUGAGGUACGAAAGCAUGGGGAGCAAACAGGAUUAGAUACCCCCGUAGUCCCUGUCUCUUAUAC
rnacentral:rRNA from 1 species